UGCGGAUAUACUUUGUUGUAGUCUUUCCCGGCAAUGGUGCUGGAGAGCAGAAUGGCCCCAGAAGCUCAUUACCCCCAUACCUCAUGUGGCUGGAGGAUGUCGUUCCCGUCAGAAGGCCUUCCUCUGACUCUCGCACGUGAUGACAGUUUCACUGGAGUCAGGUGGACGUGGACUAAUCAGCGGCUGAUACCGAGAAGCCGUUGGAUCGAGGCAACCAAAGUGGUUUUGAGCAACACCAGAUUCAACAGCAAGCUAAGAGGCAGAUUAGUUACGAAAGUUCAAAAUGAGUUUACCAAAAAGUGUCAGUGUGGGCUGAGUAUGAGACAUAUAACUAAGAGGAUUGAAGCAUACACUUUGAAACCAAAAUGCCUGAGUGUGAAUCUGACUCCACCAGAUUGGGACACGGGUUCGAUCCCUGGUCUGGGAAGAUCCCACAUGCCAUGGACCAGCUAAGCCCAUGAGCCACAACUACUGAAGCCUGUGUGCCUAGAGCCUGCGAGCCUCAACUACUGAGCCCACGUGCCACAACUACUGAAGUCUGCGUGCCUAGAGCCCAUGGUCUGCAACAAGCCACCGCAAUGAGAAGCCCACGCACCGAAACACAGAGUAGCCCCCACUCACCGCAACUAGAGAAAGCCCGCGCACAGCAACGAAGACCCAAC